rnacentral:rRNA from 1 species
UACGUAGGGCGCAAGCGUUGUCCGGAAUUAUUGGGCGUAAAGAGCUCGUAGGCGGCCUGUUGCGUCCGCUGUGAAAUCCCGGGGCUCAACCCCGGGCCUGCAGUGGAUACGGGCUGGCUAGAGGCAGGCAGGGGAGAACGGAAUUCCUGGUGUAGCGGUGAAAUGCGCAGAUAUCAGGAGGAACACCGGUGGCGAAGGCGGCCAACUGGACCAUUACUGACGCUGAGGCGCGAAAGCGUGGGGAGCAAACAGG